GAAGAGGAGAGACAAUGUUCUCCAUAAAGCUCUUUGUGCUGUUGGCAGCUGUACACAGUGUUUAUUGUCAGGUUGUGCUCACACAGUCUGAACAGUCAGUAGUUGUGUCUCCAGGUGCUUCCUACAAACUGACCUGUGCCUGCAGUGGAUUCACUCUUAGUGACUAUAGGAUGCACUGGAUCCGUCAGGCACCUGGAAAAGGACUGGAAUGGAUCUUACACUAUUAUACAGACUCUGACAAAGGCUCAGCUCAGUCAGUGCAGGGCAGAUUCACAGCAUCUAAGGACAGCUCUAAUUUCUAUCUGCACAUGAGUCAGUUAAAAACUGAAGACACUGCAGUGUAUUACUGUGCAAGAGAGACACAGUGA